AAAUUGAAGAGUUUGAUCAUGGCUCAGAUUGAACGCUGGCGGCAGGCCUAACACAUGCAAGUCGAACGGUAACAGGAAGCAGCUUGCUGCUUUGCUGACGAGUGGCGGACGGGUGAGUAAUGUCUGGGAAACUGCCUGAUGGAGGGGGAUAA
rnacentral:rRNA from 2 species